rnacentral:rRNA from 1 species
UACGUAGGGUGCGAGCGUGUCCGGAAUUAUUGGGCGUAAAGAGCUCGUAGGCGGCUUGUCGCGUCGGAUGUGAAAGCCCGGGGCUUAAACUCCGGGUCUGCAUUCGAUACGGGCAGGCUAGAGUUCGGUAGGGGAGAUCGGAAUUCCUGGUGUAGCGGUGAAAUGCGCAGAUAUCAGGAGGAACACCGGUGGCGAAGGCGGGUCUCUGGGCCGAUACUGACGCUGAGGAGCGAAAAGCGUGGGGAGCGAACAGG